ACCAAUUCUGGGGAUAAUUUGUUCCUCUCAGGUAUAAUGGCUUGGGCGCUAUAACAAUUUGUGGCUAUCCUGAUCGAUGUUCUUUCAAUGCCAUUAGAUCCUGGAAACACCUCGUACAACC